GAUGCGCCCCCGGCGGCUCUGGCACACACAGCGCUGGCGGCUGACUGUGCGCAGGGCCGUGCGCCCCGGUCACCCCCCGGGUCACCCCGACACCGGACGGCAUUGCUCACCUCCAAGGAGCGCGGGUCCCCCCUUCCGACCACGGACUCGGCGAAUCGGGCGGGAGAAUAACGGGAGCUUCCGGCACGGGAAUCAGAGGGAAUCGGACGGGCUGAGCGCGCGGGGGCGGCGGGAAGGGAACACCCUCUGCAGCUGCAGCGAGGCGGUCCCAGCGCCGCCUCCUGGGCACACGGAGCGCCCCGCCCCGCCCCGCGCCCCCUGCUGUGAGGGUGGGGUGACCCGGGGGGCGUCCCCAUGAGCCAUUUCUCUCCUGGGGGGUCUGUGGUUGAGGUUCUAGUUUUGCAUAGAAUUAACCAGAAAGAUGCCAGACUCUGAGGAGGAGCCACAUGUGUCACUUGAAGAAAUAAAGAUGCUAUUUUUUUGUAUUUUGCCUGCGAGGCAGGGGGCGCACAGGAGCGCAACGCUGAUGAAAGUGGGGGUUACCUUUACGGAGGGGGGGGGGGCCCAUUUCUAUGAUGCUCCCGCCCGGAGGGCUGGUGUGCGUGUUUGCUGGGCCCCUGUGUGAGGGGGUGCCUGGCGGGGUCACACAGGACACCCCACGGGGCCGCCUGGGUGUCUGCUGCAGGGGAGGAGGAGGGGCCACACCUCGCGGGGUUGCCAUGGUGACCGUGGGCCGUCCAUCAAAUUGACAUCUCCAUCCCUAGAUUGCCCGCCCUUCCCUGACACCCGCAGCCAGACCUCUUCACAAACACGCCUGUGUCACGCUUCCUUCACGCCAACGAAACAGGACGUAGAGAGCUCGAACCCGCGCUCGCUCGGUGCCCGCUUGCUCCUGCUCCCCGCCGGCCUCGGCUCCCCAGGGCUUUCAGCUUGGUGUCUGGAAACGUUUGAUCCUCUUGACUUUUUGCUGUAUCUUCUCAUUUUCUGAAAACGCUUUAGAGUGGUAGCUAUGCCUCUCGUGUCUCCGCACUGUCCACGCCGUCCCCAGUGGGUGUGCGGGACGGAAGCGGGAGCCCAGGCUGCUGGUAGCCACGUCGGGCCCCGGGCAGCGGGUCCGCGGAAAGCGGGGGAGGGGUGCGCGCAGGGGCGCCGUGUCGCGUGUACAUAGGUCAUGACAUGUCCAUGUCCAAAGUUCUUAUAUAUUUCUUUUAUAAGCGGAAAGAAGGUCUAUUUUUAUGUUUUUAGGUCUAUGAAUGGAGCGUUGUAAAUGCCUGUCAGUCAAACAAUAAAAUGAUCGGAAAGCGUCUGGA